rnacentral:SRP_RNA from 1 species
GCUAGGUGUGGUGGCAUGCAACUGUAAGUCCCAGCUACUUAGGAGGCUGAGGUUGGAGGAUCAGUUGAGGCCAGGAAUUCUGGGUUGUAGUGUACUGCCAUCGAGUAUCCCUACUAAGUUGGGCAUCAAUAUGGUGACUUCCUAAGAGUGGGGGAAUACCAGGUUGCCUAAGGAGUGGUGAACCAGCCCAGGUUGAAAAUGGAGCAAGUCAAAACCCUUGUGCUGAUCAGAAAUAUAUAUUAUAGAUCUGUGUGUGUGUGUAUAUAUAUAUAUAUAUAUAUUAU